UACGGAGGUGGCAGGCGUUACUCGGAUUGAUUGGGUGUAAAGGGUGCGUAGGUGGUGAGUUAAGUCGAACGUGAAAUCCCCUGGCUCAACCAGGGAACUGCGUUUGAUACUGAUUUGCUUGAGCGAUAGAGAGGUAAAUGGAAUUCCCGGUGUAACAGUGAAAUGUGUAGAUAUCGGGAGGAACACCAGUGGCGAAGGCGAUUUACUGGCUAUCUGCUGACACUGAAGCACGAGAGCAUGGGGAGCAAACAGG
rnacentral:rRNA from 1 species